AUCCUCUUUAAAGAUGGUCCUGUGAGGCUGGCAAGAGGAAAAAGAUCACAAAGUAGUUGAUUUGUGCUUCUUUCUUGCCGCCUCCUAGACAUACUAGGAGGCUUUUUCUA
rfam:Bacillus lehensis G1, complete genome.